GAUGAAGAACGCAGCGAAGUGCGAUAUGUAGUGUGAAUUGCAGAUUUGUGAAUCAUCAAAUCUUUGAACGCAAAUUGCACUCCUUGGUAUUCCGGGGAGUAUGCCUGUUUGAGGGUCGCCAAAUCAACAUCGAAAUUCAUUUGCUUUUGUAAAUGUUUAUCGGAUUUGAGCCGUCUUUUAUUUUUUUUAAGUGGCUUAAAAUUUAUUUUUUGGUAUCGAAAAACGUUAUUUUACGAUCAAAUUGAUUAAAAAACAAACGUUUCGAAUGCCAUCUUAAGUAAUACGUUUGACUGUUUGUUAAUCAUAUAGUAUCAUUCGUAUACGAUUUUUUUAAUUUUUGACCUCAAAUCAGGUAAGAAUACCCGCUGAACUUAAGCAUAUCAAUAAGCGGAGGA
rnacentral:misc_RNA from 1 species